rnacentral:rRNA from 1 species
GGGGGGGGGGGGGGGGGGGGGGGGGGGGGGGGGGGGGGGCGGGCGGGGCGGGCUUGGGGGGUGCUCGGGGGGCGGACGGGUGGGUGACGCGUGGGGGGGCUGCGCUGCACUUGGGGCGCACCCUGGGAACGUGGGGCUCAUACCGGCUCGGCGCCAUCUUUGGUGUGAUGGUUGUAAAGGCUUAUCGGUGUAGGUUUAUCUCGCGGCCUAUCAGCUUGUUGGUGGGGUAAUGGCCUACCAAGGCGCUGGCGGGUAGCCGGGCUGAGAGGGUGGCCGGGCAAAUUGGGGAUGAGAUACGGGCCAGACUCCUACGGGAGGCAGCAGUGGGGAAUAUUGCACAAUGGGCGCAAGCCUGAUGCCGCGACGCCGCGUGGGGGAUGACGGCCUUCGGGUUGUAAACUCCUUUCGCUAGGGACGAAGCUUUUUGUGACGGUACCUAGAUAAGAAGCACCGGCUAACUACGUG